rnacentral:rRNA from 1 species
GUAUACAUAUACACACACAUAAUGCACCGUUUCUUGUCCAAUCACCAAAGUUAAGCAAUGUUGAGCCUAGUUAGUACUUAGAUGAGUGACUACUUGGGAAACUUAGGUGCUGUAAGAA